CCUCUUUUCACGGGGCCGUGUCCCGACUAUCUUUGAACUGUCUCGCAAGAGACUAUGGGCAUAAACGCGCUCGUAAUAAGCGGAUCGGACCCGGGGGCGGUACCCGGCGGCUCCACCAAACAUCCCGUCGUUGGGGGAUCAUGGGGCCGAAACAGGAUCGACGAACGUGUAAAGGGGUAGCUUUGUCCCGGUGAGAUACCACCGUUAUCGGUUCACUAAGCAUAAUUGCCAACGACAAUCGUGCUCCGGUCGCUCUCGCCGCGUAAGCGGUGCGAAAGACCGAAAUCUGAAGUCCAGUUCCUCUAGCAAGGGCUGGCGGGGUUCGCAGGCACCUGGCAACAGAAGCCUGCAUU
rfam:Roseivivax jejudonensis strain CECT 8625 genome assembly, contig: 0003